GACGAACGCUGGCGGCGUGCUUAACACAUGCAAGUCGAACGGUGAAGCGCCUUCCUUUUUGGUGGGUGUGGAUGAGUGGCGAACGGGUGAGUAACACGUGAGUAACCUGCCCCCUUCUUCUGGAUAACCGCAUGAAAGUGUGGCUAAUACGGGAUAUUCUGGGUCUGUCGCAUGAUGGGUCUGGGAAAGAUAUUGUUUCGGUGGGGGAUGGGCUCGCGGCCUAUCAGCUUGUUGGUGGGGUGAUGGCCUACCAAGGCGGUGACGGGUAGCCAGCCUGAGAGGGUGGACGGUCACACUGGGACUGAGACACGGCCCAGACUCCUACGGGAGGCAGCAGUGGGGAAUAUUGCGCAAUGGGCGCAAGCCUGAUGCAGCGACGCCGCGUGAGGGAUGGAGGCCUUCGGGUUGUGAACCUCUUUCGCCAGUGAAGCAGGCCUGCCUCGUUUGUGGGUGGGUUGACGGUAGCGGGAUAAGAAGCGCCGGCUAACUACGU
rnacentral:rRNA from 1 species